CACACCGCCCGUCACACCACGAAAGUCGUUUGUACCCGAAAUCAUCUUAGCUAACCUGAAUAAGGAGGCGGAUGCUGACGGUACGAGGGAUGAUUGGGGUG
rnacentral:rRNA from 1 species